GAUGAACGCUGGCGGCGUGCCUAAUACAUGCGAGUCGAGCGAAUGGAUUGAGAGCUUGCUCUUAUGAAGUUAGCGGCGGACGGGCGAGUAACACGUAGGUAACCUGCCCAUAAGACUGGGAUAACUCCGGGAAACCGGGGCUAAUACCGGAUAACAUUUUGAACCGCAUGGUUCGAAAUUGAAAGGCGGCUUCGGCUGUCACUUAUGGAUGGACCCGCGUCGCAUUAGCUAGUUGGUGAGGUAACGGCUCACCAAGGCAACGAUGCGUAGCCGACCUGAGAGGGUGAUCGGCCACACUGGGACUGAGACACGGCCCAGACUCCUACGGGAGGCAGCAGUAGGGAAUCUUCCGCAAUGGACGAAAGUCUGACUGAGCAACGCCGCGUGAGUGAUGAAGGCUUUCGGGUCGUAAAACUCUGUUGUUAGGGAAGAACAAGUGCUAGUUGAAUAAGCUGGCACCUUGACGGUACCUAACCAGAAAGCCACGGCUAACUACGUGCCAGCCGCCGCAGUAA
rnacentral:rRNA from 1 species